GUCUGCAGCCAUACCACCCUGAAGUGCACAAUAUCCUCUGAUCUUGGAAGCUAAGCAGGGUUGGGCCUGGUUAGUACUUGGUUGGAAGGCCAAAAUAUUUAUGCCCUAAUAACAUCUUUAUAGAUGCGGAGU
rnacentral:rRNA from 1 species